rnacentral:rRNA from 1 species
GACGAACGCUGGCGGCGUGCCUAAUACAUGCAAGUCGAACGCAGUGGGGACGGGUGAGUAACACGUGGGUAACCUCCCAUCAGAGGGGAUAACACUUGGAAACAGGUGCUAAACCGAUACUGAUGGAUGAACCCGCGGUGCAUUAGCCUUUUGGUGAGGUAACGGCCCACCAAGGCCACGAUGCAGAGCCGACCUGGGAGGGUGAUCGGCCAAACUGGGACUGAGACACGGCCCAGACUCCUACGGGAGGCAGCAGGAGGGAAGCUUCCGCAAUGGACGAAAGUCUGACCGAGCAACGCCGCGUGAGUGAAGAAGGUUUUCGGAUCGUAAAACUCUGUUAUUAGAGAAGCGGUAUCUAACCAGAAAGCCACGGCUAACUACGUGCCAGCAGCCGCGGUAAUAC